CCUACGGGCGGCAGCAGUGAGGAAUAUUGGUCAAUGGCCGGAAGCCUAAACCAGCCAAGCCGCGUGAAGGAAGAAGGUGCCGAGUAUCGUAAACCUCUUUUGUCAGGGGACAAAAUCAGGGACUAGUCCCCGGCUGAGGGUACCUGAAGAAAAAGCAUCGGCUAACUCCGUGCCAGCAGCCGCGGUAAUACGGAGGAUGCGAGCGUUAUCCGGAUUUAUUGGGUUUAAAGGGUGCGCAGGCGGCCUGUUAAGUCAGCGGUAAAAGCCCGGGGCUCAACCCCGGCGAGCCGUUGAAACUGGCGGGCUGGAGUUGGAGAGAAGUAUGCGGAAUGCGCGGUGUAGCGGUGAAAUGCUUAGAUAUCGCGCAGAACCCCGAUUGCGAAGGCAGCGUACCGGCUCCACACUGACGCUGAGGCACGAAAGCGUGGGUAUCGAACAGGAUUAGAUACCCUAGUAGUC
rnacentral:rRNA from 1 species